CAAUAGCGUAUAUUAAAGUUGUUGCAGUUAAAAAGCUCGUAGUUGGAUUUCUGGUGGGAGCGAUCGGUCUGGCGCUUAGCGCGAGUACUUGCAUCGUCUCCGGCCAUCCUUGGGGAGAGCCUGUCUGGCAUUAGGUUGUCGGGCAGAGGAUCCUCAUCGUUUACUGUGAAAAAAUUAGAGUGUUCAAAGCAGGCUUAUGCCGUUGAAUAUAUUAGCAUGGAAUAAUAAGAUAGGACUUUGGUACUAUUUUGUUGGUUUGCGCACCAAAGUAAUGAUUAAUAGGGACAGUUGGGGGUAUUCGUAUUCCGUUGUCAGAGGUGAAAUUCUUAGAUUUACGGAAGACGAACUACUGCGAAAGCAUUUACCAAGGAUGUUUUCAUUAA
rnacentral:rRNA from 1 species